GUGGGCUACGGGGAUAUGCACCCGGUGACCAUCGGGGGCAAGAUUGUGGGGUCGCUCUGCGCCAUCGCGGGCGUCCUGACCAUCGCCCUGCCGGUCCCCGUGAUUGUCUCCAAC
rfam:Myotis lucifugus cont2.24738, whole genome shotgun sequence.